rnacentral:rRNA from 1 species
AACGAACGCUGGCGGCGGGCUUAACACAUGCAGGUCGAGCGGGCACUUCGUUGUCAGCUGCAGACGGGUGGGUAACACGUGGUAACGUACCCGUUGGUUCCGAAUAACUCUGGGUAAGUAGCGCUAAUACCGGAUACGCCCUUUUGGGGAAAGGCUUGCUGCCGCAGGGUCGGCCCGCGUCUGAUUAGCUAGUUGGUGGGGUAAUGGCCUACCAAGGCGACGAUGAGUAGCUGGUCUGAGAGGAUGAUCAGGCACACUGGGACUGAGACACGGCCCAGACUCCUACGGGAGGAAGCAGUGGGGAAUAUUGGACAAUGGGCGCAAGCCUGAUACAGCCAUGCCGCGUGAGUGAUGAAGGCCUUAGGGUUGUAAAGCUCUUUUGUCCGGGACGAUAAUGACGGUACCGGAAGAAUAAGCCCCGGCUAACUUCGUG